rnacentral:tRNA from 1 species
GCCCGGGUGGUGGAAUGGUAUACACGCAGCACUUAAAAUGCUGUGGGCGUAAGCUCUUGAGAGUUCGAAUCUCUCCCCGGGCA